rnacentral:rRNA from 1 species
ACGCUGGCGGCAGGCCUAACACAUGCAAGUCGAGCGGUAGAGAGAAGCUUGCUUCUCUUGAGAGCGGCGGACGGGUGAGUAAUGCCUAGGAAUCUGCCUGGUAGUGGGGGAUAACGUUCGGAAACGGACGCUAAUACCGCAUACGUCCUACGGGAGAAAGCAGGGGACCUUCGGGCCCUUGCGCUAUCAGAUGAGCCUAGGUCGGAUUAGCUAGUUGGUGGGGUAAUGGCUCACCAAGGCGACGAUCCGUAACUGGUCUGAGAGGAUGAUCAGUCACACUGGAACUGAGACACGGUCCAGACUCCUACGGGAGGCAGCAGAGGGGAAUAUUGGACAAUGGGCGAAAGCCUGAUCCAGCCAUGCCGCGUGUGUGAAGAAGGUCUUCGGAUUGUAAAGCACUUUAAGUUGGGAGGAAGGGUUGUAGAUUAAUACUCUGCAAUUUUGACGUUACCGACAGAAUAAGCACCGGCUAACUCUGUGCCAGCAGCCGCGGUAAUACAGAGGGUGCAAGCGUUAAUCGGAAUUACUGGGCGUAAAGCGCGCGUAGGUGGUUAGUUAAGUUGGAUGUGAAAUCCCCGGGCUCAACCUGGGAACUGCAUUCAAAACUGACUGACUAGAGUAUGGUAGAGGGUGGUGGAAUUUCCUGUGUAGCGGUGAAAUGCGUAGAUAUAGGAAGGAACACCAGUGGCGAAGGCGACCACCUGGACUGAUACUGACACUGAGGUGCGAAAGCGUGGGGAGCAAAC